CGAAAGCCUGACGGAGCAACGCCGCGUGAGGGAUGGAGGCCUUUGGGCUGUAAACCUCUUUUCUCAAGGAAGAAGAUCUGACGGUACUUGAGGAAUAAGCCACGGCUAAUUCCGUGCCAGCAGCCGCGGUAAUACGGGAGUGGCAAGCGUUAUCCGGAAUUAUUGGGCGUAAAGCGUCCGCAGGCGGCCGUUUAAGUCUGUUGUUAAAUCGUGGAGCUCAACUCCAUCACGGCAAUGGAAACUGUUCGGCUUGAGUAUGGUAGGGGCAGAGGGAAUUUCCGGUGUAGCGGUGAAAUGCGUAGAUAUCGGGAAGAACACCAGUGGCGAAAGCGCUCUGCUGGGCCAUUACUGACGCUCAUGGACGAAAGCCAGGGGAGCGAAAGGGAUUGGAUACCCCUGUAGUCCUGGCCGUAAACGAUGAACACUAGAUGUUGAGGGAAUCGACCCCCUCGGUGUCGUAGCUAACGCGUUAAGUGUUCCGCCUGGGGAGUACGCACGCAAGUGUGAAACUCAAAGGAAUUGACGGGGGCCCGCACAAGCGGUGGAGUAUGUGGUUUAAUUCGAUGCAACGCGAAGAACCUUACCAAGGCUCGACAUCCUGCGAAUCUCUAAGAAAUUAGAGAGUGCCUUCGGGAACGCAGUGACAGGUGGUGCAUGGCUGUCGUCAGCUCGUGUCGUGAGAUGUUGGGUUAAGUCCCGCAACGAGCGCAACCCACGUUUUUAGUUGCCAGCAUUCAGUUGGGCACUCUAGAAAGACUGCCGGUGACAAACCGGAGGAAGGUGUGGACGACGUCAAGUCAUCAUGCCCCUUACGCCUUGGGCUACACACGUACUACAAUGCUGCGGACAAAGAGUAGCGAUCUUGCGAAAGUUAGCUAAUCUCACAAACCGUGGCUCAGUUCAGAUCGUAGGCUGCAACUCGCCUACGUGAAGGAGGAAUCGCUAGUAAUCGCAGGUCAGCAUACUGCGGUGAAUACGUUCCCGGGCCUUGUACACACCGCCCGUCACACCAUGGAAGUUGGCCAUGCCCGAAGUCGUUACUCUAACCUUUUGGAAGAGGGCGCCGAAGGCAGGGCUAAUGACUGGGGUGAAGUCGUAACAAGGUAGCCGUAGCGGAAGCUGCGGCUGGAUCACCUCCUAA
rnacentral:rRNA from 1 species